GAUUCACCACAAGAAUAUAAUAAGCAACAUAGAAC
rnacentral:guide_RNA from 1 species